AUUGAACGCUGGCGGCAGGCCUAACACAUGCAAGUCGAACGAGUGGCGGACGGGUGAGUAAUGUCUGGGAAACUGCCCGAUGGAGGGGGAUAACUACUGGAAACGGUAGCUAAUACCGCAUACCAUCGGAUGUACCCAGAUGGGAUGAGCUAGUGGGUGGGGUAACGGCUCACCUAGUGGAAGAUCCCUAGCUGGUCUGAGCGGAUGACCAGCCACACUGGAACUGAGACAGGGGCCAGACUCCUCGGGGAGGAAGAAGUGGGAAAUAUUGCACAAGGGGCGCAAGCCUGAUGCAGCCAUGCCGCGUGUAUGAAGAAGGCCGUCGGGUUGUAAAGUACUUUCAGCGGGGAGGCGUUACCCGCAGAAGAAGCACCGGCUAACUCCGUGCCAGCAGCCGCGGUAAUUC
rnacentral:rRNA from 1 species